GGGUCUCUCUGGACCACGACUGAGAAGGAUAUCAGUCCGUGAACCACGGAGCAUAACAGAGCGUGGAGAGGACCGGGCUCUUACCUGAGAGGCCGAAGAGCCCCGGGCCCAGGGCAGCCCAGAGGCCGAGCAACGCCCGGCACAGCCCCGGCGAAGGCCCCGGCAUCGCCGCCGCGGGGGAAGCGCAGGAGGCGAGGAGAGCGCGAGCGCUGAGCUGGGCGAGAGGACCGCGCGGCGGGCCGGGUGAUCAUCAAGACGUUGCCAGGACGCGAGUCUGUGACACUCCACGUGGGCCAUCCGAAUUUUCCUUCCCCGCAAUCACAACAUGGGUACCUUUUCUUCGUAUCUUCGUCCCUCAACGUGUCAUGUGACCCCGUCCAUUUGCUCUCUCACCGCCAGCGCUAAC